UACGAGAGGGGCAAUCGUUAUUCGGAAUGAUUGGGCGUAAAGCGCACGUAGAUGGUUGUGUCUCUGUCUCAAGAAAAGGCCAAAGCUUCACUUUGGAUCCUUGAAGCAGACCACAUCUUGAGUAAGUGAAAGGAAAAUAGAAUUCCUAAAGGAGAGGUAAAAUUUGUUGAUCUUAGGAGGAAUACCAAAAGCGAAAGCAGUUUUCUUGCACUUGACUGACAUUGAGGUGCGAAAGCGUGGGGAGAAAACCGG
rnacentral:rRNA from 1 species